AACUCAUAGCAGAGGAUGGCUAGAGACAAGAAUGUUGGUCCAAUGGUUCUUCUCCUUGUUUUUGGUUCAAUCCUACUGGGAAUCAAUCCAAGCACAGCCAAAAUUUGCCCUCAGUAUUGUACGGACCAGGCAGGUUAUAUGACCUGUCCAUCUUCAGGCAAUACGCAGCUUUCACCAUCUUGCAAUUGUUGCUUAGCUCCGGCAGGCUGCACCAUUUACAGAACUGACGGAACUUCAAUCUGUACUGGUACUUAAAAUGAGUGAGCAUGGGGCAUGCCUUGUAUGAUAUAAAUAAUUAUGGUUUGCCAUGAAUGGUUUUGAAGUGGCAAUAUCCAUGCUGCCACUGAUGAAGAAUAAUAUAUGGUCAUAAUAAAUGGGCUUUCCUUGAC